GACGAACGCUGGCGGCGUGCUUAACACAUGCAAGUCGAACGGAAAGGCCCUGCUUUUGUGGGGUGCUCGAGUGGCGAACGGGUGAGUAACACGUGAGUAACCUGCCCUUGACUUUGGGAUAACUUCAGGAAACUGGGGCUAAUACCGGAUAGGAGCUCCUGCUGCAUGGUGGGGGUUGGAAAGUUUCGGCGGUUGGGGAUGGACUCGCGGCUUAUCAGCUUGUUGGUGGGGUAGUGGCUUACCAAGGCUUUGACGGGUAGCCGGCCUGAGAGGGUGACCGGCGACAGUGGGACUGAGAGACGGCCCAGACUACUACGGGAGGCAGCAGCGGGGAAUAUUGCACAAUGGGCGGAAGCCUGAUGCAGCAACGCCGCGUGCGGGAUGACGGCCUUCGGGUUGUAAACCGCUUUCGCCUGUGACGAAGCGUGAGUGACGGUAAUGGGUAAAGAAGCACCGGCUAACUACGUG
rnacentral:rRNA from 1 species